UACAGAGGUCUCAAGCGUUGUUCGGAUUCAUUGGGCGUAAAGGGUGCGUAGGUGGCGGGGCAAGUCAGGUGUGAAAUCUCGGGGCUCAACCCCGAAACUGCACUUGAUACUGCCUUGCUUGAGUACUGGAGAGGAGAUUGGAAUUUACGGUGUAGCAGUGAAAUGCGUUGAGAUCGGAAGGAACGCCCGUGGCGAAAGCGAGGUCCUGGACGUCUACUGACACUGAGGCACGAAGGCCAGGGGAGCAAACGGG
rnacentral:rRNA from 1 species